rnacentral:rRNA from 1 species
GACGAACCGUGCGAACGUUAUUCGGAAUCACUGGGCUUAAAGCGCGUGUAGGCGGGACGGCACGUCGGUCGCUGAAAGCCCCCGGCUCAACCGGGGAACGGGCGCCGAUACGACCGGCCUGGAGGGACGUAGGGGGACCUGGAACUUCCGGUGGAGCGGUGAAAUGCGUUGAGAUCGGAAGGAACGCCCGUGGCGAAAGCGGCUACCUGGACCAGCACUGACACUGAAGCACGAAAGCGUGGGGAGCAAACAGG